AGCGAACGCUGGCGGCAGGCCUAACACAUGCAAGUCGGGCGGCCGUAGCAAUACGGCAGCGGCAGACGGGAGAGUAACACGUGGGAACGCGCCCUUUGGUUCGGAAUAACUCAGGGAAACUUGAGCUAAUACCGGAUAAGCCCUUACUGGGAAAGAUUUAUCGCCAAAGGAACGGCCCGCGUCCGAUUAGCUAGUUGGUGAGGUAACGCCUCACCAAGGCGCCGAUCGGUAGCUGGUCUGAGAGGAUGAGCAGCCUCCAUGGGACGGAGACACGGCCCAGACUCCUACGGGAGGCAGCAGUGUGAAAUAUUGGACAAUGGGCGCAAGCCUGAGCCAGCCAUGCCGCGUGAGUGAUGAAGGCCUUAGGGUUGUAAAGCUCUUUUAGCAGGGAAGAUAAUGACGGUACCUGCGGAAAAAGCCCCGGCUAACUUCGUGCCAGCCGCCGCGGUAA
rnacentral:rRNA from 1 species